rnacentral:rRNA from 1 species
AUUGAACGCUGGCGGAAUGCUUUACACAUGCAAGUCGAACGGCAGCACGGACUUCGGUCUGGUGGCGAGUGGCGAACGGGUGAGUAAUAUAUCGGAACGUGCCCAGUCGUGGGGGAUAACGUAGUGAAAAUUACGCUAAUACCGCAUACGAUCUAUGGAUGAAAGCGGGGGAUCGCAAGACCUCGCGCGAUUGGAGCGGCCGAUAUCAGAUUAGGUAGUUGGUGCGGUAAAGGCUCACCAAGCCGACGAUCUGUAGCUGGUCUGAGAGGACGACCAGCCCCACUGGAACUGAGACACGUGCCAGACUCCUACGGGAGGCAGCGGUGGGGAAUUUUGGACAAUGGACGCAAGUCUGAUCCAGCCAUUCCGCGUGCAGGACGAAGGCCUUCGGGUUGUAAACUGCUUUCGUACAGAACGAAAAGGUCUCUAUUAAUACUAGGGGCUCAUGACGGUACUGUAAGAAUAAGCACCGGCUAACUACGUGCCAGCCGCCGCAGUAACAC